rnacentral:rRNA from 1 species
CAUUUAAGGAACUCGGCAAAAUACCUCCGUAAGUUCGCGAGAAGGAGGCCCGUUCUGUAGGCAACUAUGGGGCGGGGGCACAAACCAGGGGGUGGCGACUGUUUACUUAAAACACAGGGCUCUGCGAAGUCGUAAGACGACGUAUAGGGUCUGACGCCUGCCCGGUGCUGGAAGGUUAAAAGGAGGGGUGCAAGCUCCGAAUUGAAGCCCCAGUAAACGGCGGCCGUAACUAUAACGGUCCUAAGGUAGCGAAAUUCCUUGUCGGGUAAGUUCCGACCUGCACGAAUGGCGUAACGACCUCCCCGCUGUCUCAAAUGUGGACUCAGCGAAAUUGAAUUGCCCGUGAAGAUGCGGGCUACCCGCGGUUAGACGGAAAGACCCCAUGCACCUUUACUAUAGCUUCGCACUGGCAACAGGCACGGCAUGCGCAGGAUAGGUGGUAGGCUUUGAAGCCGGGACUCUGGUCUCGGUGGAGCCUCCCUUGAGAUACCACCCUUGCUUUGCUUGUUGUCUAACCGCGGCCCGUUAUCCGGGUCCGGGACCCUGCGUGGUGGGUAGUUUGACUGGGGCGGUCGCCUCCUAAACAGUAACGGAGGCGCGCGAAGGUUGGCUCAGAGCGGUCGGAAAUCGCUCGUUGAGUGCAAUGGCAGAAGCCAGCCUGACUGCAAGACUGACAAGUCGAGCAGAGACGAAAGUCGGCCAUAGUGAUCCGGUGGUCCCAAGUGGGAGGGCCAUCGCUCAACGGAUAAAAGGUACGCUGGGGAUAACAGGCUGAUGAUGCCCAAGAGUCCAUAUCGACGGCAUCGUUUGGCACCUCGAUGUCGGCUCAUCUCAUCCUGGGGCUGGAGCAGGUCCCAAGGGUAUGGCUGUUCGCCAUUUAAAGAGGUACGUGAGCUGGGUUUAGAACGUCGUGAGACAGUUCGGUCCCUAUCUUCCGUGGGUGUAGGAUACUUGAGAGGAGUUGCCCCUAGUACGAGAGGACCGGGGUGAACGUUCCACUGGUGGACCAGUUAUCGUGCCAACGGUAGUGCUGGGUAGCUAUGAACGGACAGGAUAACCGCUGAAGGCAUCUAAGCGGGAAGCCCCCCUCAAAACAAGGUAUCCCUGAGGACCGUGGUAGACCACCACGUCGAUAGGCCGGAGAUGUAAGCGCAGCAAUGCGUUCAGUUGACCGGUACUAAUGGUCCGAUAGGCUUGAUUUG